rnacentral:lncRNA from 1 species
UUUUUUAAAAGUUGGACGGCGGAGCCUAAUUUUUUGCUGCAUUGUUAUAUAGAUCCGGACAGACCUGGGAUUCCACAAGGUGUAUUCUCUCUCUUCUCGUUCUCAUUAUCUUCAUGAUUAUUUCUAUUCUUGCUCGUUGUCAUCCGAUCGUAGUAUCAACUCUCUCUCUCUAAUGAUCGUAUAUGCCUCUCUCUCUCUCUCUCUCU